GCCGAGGUAGCCAACGUGGUCACGGCACACGCCUGAAGAGCGUGGGAUGUGGGUUCGAUUCCCACCCUCGGCACCA
rnacentral:tRNA from 4 species